GACGAACGCUGGCGGCGUGCCUAAUACAUGCAAGUAGAACGCUGAAGGAGGAGCUUGCUUCUCUGGAUGAGUUGCGAACGGGUGAGUAACGCGUAGGUAACCUGCCUGGUAGCGGGGGAUAACUAUUGGAAACGAUAGCUAAUACCGCAUAAGAGUAGAUGUUGCAUGACAUUUGCUUAAAAGGUGCAAUUGCAUCACUACCAGAUGGACCUGCGUUGUAUUAGCUAGUUGGUGAGGUAACGGCUCACCAAGGCAACGAUACAUAGCCGACCUGAGAGGGUGAUCGGCCACACUGGGACUGAGACACGGCCCAGACUCCUACGGGAGGCAGCAGUAGGGAAUCUUCGGCAAUGGACGGAAGUCUGACCGAGCAACGCCGCGUGAGUGAAGAAGGUUUUCGGAUCGUAAAGCUCUGUUGUAAGAGAAGAACGAGUGUGAGAGUGGAAAGUUCACACUGUGACGGUAUCUACCAGAAA
rnacentral:rRNA from 1 species